AGCUUUUAUCAGGUAUCGGCAAUUGUCUUUCAUUAGGGGGAAGAAUGAAGAAGAAUACUAAAAAUAGCAGACUUAUAAACUGAGACAGUUUGCGUGCUUGAACUUACUUUUUCAUUUUACUUCAACCUCUAAGGAGGGCAGUCACUGGCGUGCCUACUUUACUUCUUUUAAGUGAUAGAACAGCAAACAGGCAAU
rnacentral:other from 1 species